rnacentral:rRNA from 1 species
GACGAACGCUGGCGGCGUGCUUAACACAUGCAAGUCGAACGGAAAGGCCCUGCUUUUGUGGGGUGCUCGAGUGGCAAACGGGUGAGUAAAACGUGAGUAACCUGCCCUUGACUUUGGGAUAACUUCAGGAAACUGGGGCUAAUACCGGAUAGGAGCUCCUGCGGCAUGGUGGGGGUUGGAAAGUUUCGGCGGUUGGGGAUGGACUCGCGGCUUAUCAGCUUGUUGGUGGGGUAGUGGCUUACCAAGGCUUUGACGGGUAGCCGGCCUGAGAGGGUGACCGGCCACAUUGGGACUGAGAUACGGCCCAGACUCCUACGGGAGGCAGCAGUGGGGAAUAUUGCACAAUGGGCGGAAGCCUGAUGCAGCAACGCCGCGUGCGGGAUGACGGCCUUCGGGUUGUAAACCGCUUUCGCCUGUGACGAAGCGUGAGUGACGGUAAUGGGUAAAGAAGCACCGGCUAACUACGUG